UACUACUCAUAAUCUGCGUCCCAAAAAUUUGGUGGUUUCUUCUUUCCGCAUGGGUGUUGUUCUUUAUAUGGGUAACAUAUACUUUACUAUACAAUGCAGUUCACCUUCGUCAACGCCACGGCCAAGCCCAAGAGCCAAAUGAGUUGCCGAAUGAGUUGCCCUAAGAGCCAAAUAAUGAGUUGCCGAAUGAGUUGCCCUAAGAGCCAAAUAAUGAGUUGCCAGUGUAACCAUACCGAGCCCUUGAAGAGAUUCAUUUGUGUGUUCAGAAUCAUUUGUGUGUUUCUCACUGGUCGACGUCUAUAUCCAUUGAAGAGAUUCAUUUGUACGGUCGAUGAAAGACAGUUGUCUAUAUAUAUAUAAUUGCGUGGUGUGAUUGAACUUACAAGUGCUAUUUUUACCAGUAUGACCGCAACUUGGUAACGUUAUCUGUAAUAUAUUGUUUGAAUAC
rnacentral:lncRNA from 1 species